AGAAACUUAAAUUAUACAAACUAGAGGCCUUCAUAAGCCCCCAAAAAAGACUACUUCAGUUUCUG
rnacentral:tRNA from 1 species